rnacentral:rRNA from 1 species
GCCAAACACACCGAAGCCCGGCCGCUCCUACAAACAUAUUAACCAUACAAAACAAACCAUUUGACCAAAAAAGUAUUUGCGAAAGAACCUUUAAAACGGCGCUUAAUAUCACCGCAAGGGAAAAUUGAAAGAAAAAUGAAACUUUAAGCACAACAAAGCAAAGAUUAACCCUUGUACCUCUCGCAUCAUGAUUUAGCGAGCAGCCCCAGACAAAGAGCCCUGAAGCCUGACACCCCGAAACUACGUGAGCUACUUCCGGCAAUAUAUGAUC